AUUUGAGAUCAGAUGAAAAAAAAACUUGACGUAAAUGUCUCAGAAGUAAAACUUUUCCGAGAAAAAUUCAGUAUUUUUUAUUUGAAGUGUUUCUUUUUCGUGACUCGGGCUUUGUUCUCUCCGAUUUGUGACUCGAGAUGACGGCAAAGCUUGUGAGUUGAUUGAGUGUUUGACCUCAGGGAAGACAAACCAAACAAUUGCACUCCCCUGCAAAGAUACAGAAUAGAGAGAGAGAGAGGGAGGAGAGAAAAGGAUACUUCCAAAACCUGAGAUGACCUCAGAGAAGCUCGUUUAGGGAUGAAACAAACUCUUCUUCUUUCUUGAACUGCUGCCUUUGAGCUCUGAAGUCACAAUGACGGAGGAAGAUGGAAGGAAAAGAGAAGAGAGGAGAUAAAACAGCUCGAGGGCAGAAAAGGUACAAGAGGAGAAAAAAGGCUGAAAGAAAUGACUAUUUGUUCUACUUGAAAGAAGGAGGCCACUGAAGUGGAGCACUUUAUUAAAUGUCUCUGGGAUGUUGACUCAAACUUUAGUCAUACCAGCUUUGGUUUCACGCCUAAAAGAAGUCAUACAUAUUUAUAUUACAAUCCUUUUAAAGCGGUGUACAGAACAAGAGAGCUGUCCGUGGUGCUGAUCCCAGAGCUUUUGGGAACCAUGUAUAUGACAGUGGACCAAAGUUUCCUAUUUCUCUCCUACUUGCUGAGUUACUAAACCAUCUGUGCCAGUGUUUCUGUAAAAUCCAGAAUCUAUACGUUGCAGCUGCAGCAGUCUGUGGGGUUUCUCAGUGGGGACGAAGGUUUCAACCACCUCCCUGUGUGAUGAUUCCCAUUAUGCUUGGCUGUGUGCACUUCCUGUACACAUGUGUAGCUCCGUCUUGUACCAUCUGCUUGCAUCAUAUGGAGUUUAUUUCCCCGCUAGCUACUGCUACAGUUGUUGCGCUCAGCAUAUAGUAACUUUGAUAGUUUUGACUGAGGUACGCACACCCACUGGGAUUGCUCCAACCACCACAGGGUACUUGUUGUUUUACUCCGAGGAGUCUUUUCUGUCAAAUGGGCCCUCCACAAGGUCUGUUUACUUUAGAGUACACCACAGUUUUCUGGAAAACAAGUAGAAAAGCAGUUAAAAGUGAAGCUGCAGGUCUAAUCUGUCUUCCUGUGUAUCCCAGCAUGCUUUGUUGAGCAGCUGCUUGCAAAAUACAGUUAACGAGGAUGAAAAUUUUAUUGUCAGGUCAGUGUUUUUUUACGCGCUUCUAACUCAGUUAGUCCACGCUACACACACUCAAACUCUUCGUCUCUCUUAGUGAAACGAAGUCACGCUUUAGCUCGUUUCUGCCUACUUUUCGUACCAUCUGCCAUGUUUUUUUCCCUCGAAGUCUCUGUUAUCAUUUGCGUAGACUGCCUCUCACAAGACUGUUUUCCAAAGCACCCGGAAGAAAGGAAUCAUUAAGGGAAUCGUUAAAAUGAAAUGUAAAUGAGGUCGAUGGAUUGAACUAUUUGGAACCGGUUCUCAACAAGAACGGUUCUGGAUUCUUAUCCCUAGUCUCACCUCUGUCCAUCUCUCUUUAAACCAGCUCAGUCUUGGCAGAUGACUGUUUAACAUGAGUCUGGUUCUGCUCGAGGUUUCUGCCUGUUAAAGGAAGUUCUUCCCCUCCACUCUAACUCCUUAGAUGCUGAAAAGUGUGUUGCUUGUGUGGUUUCAGAUGGGAUGGAAGUGGGUCUGAUCUUUCAAGAUGGGUCUCAGUCUGAUCCUGUCUUUACAUCGGGUCUUUGUAAACAGUUUGGUUGAGAUAAUGUUGUAUUAUCGACAAAGCUCGUUGAAUUCCAGAUUGAUCUGAGUUUUGCUGUCCAAUCAGAGUCUUGAAAUCUGUGUGUUAAGGCUGGGCGAUAACCCGAAAAUUUACCGAUACAGAAAUUUAUGACAAUAACCAACAUCAUUUUGCCCAUAUUGGUAUAUUCAAAAAAUAAAUAAAUAAAAGUUGGUUUCGGAUGUGUGUAGGUAGGCUAUGGUCUCAUGUCCCUUUAAGACGCUGUCCUACAUCAGAGACGUGACUCCACCCCAUCCAGUCAGUAACAAAGAGGGAAAGACAGGUGAGGAGAUGGAGGACGGAGAGAAAGUUGUAGCAGCUGAAGUAGACAAAGUUAAUGUGGGAGGGGGUGAGCAGCUUGUGGAGUAGUUAUCGCCCAUUUAUCGUUAUCGAGGUGAACUGAUCAAUAUAUCGUGAUAUUGAUUUGAGGCCAUAUCGCCCAGCCCUACAUGUGUGUGUUUCUGGGUUGUACCACUCAGCUGCAGGAGCCUUUUAUUCUUACAUCACAAGUGACCACACACAGAGGAGGAUCUGUGACCAGGCUGUGUGUGAGUGUAAUUGCGUGUCUGUCCUGCUGCUGGUACCUGUGUGUUUGGUCAUCACGGCACCUGAACUGUGUAAACACCUGUCAUAUUCGUCUGGCCGUACUCAUUCACUCCUCAUGCACGUUUGUGUGUUAAUGUGUGUUUGUGUGUCCGUGCUUAUAUCUGCAGGACAUGUCUGUGCUCAGUGAUGCAGGGGUAAUGAUCAGAAGAGCACGCAUGAACACUUGUGAGUACUACUGCACGAUACACACAUAAACUCACUCUUACAUACAGUGCUCCUGUCACUCAUAAUGAGUAUUCAUAUUUCUCCCAGAAAUAUGAAAAUUUCUGACUGCUGAUCCGACACAAGUGCCUCGUGGUAUUUCCAGAGUCUGAGAGCUAAAGGUUAGAGCGUGUGACCUGAAUCCCCAGACACUCACUCUGGAAGUCUUGGCAGGAGCGACGAGGGGAGUAACAACCUCUGCUGCAUCAGUGAGUACCACAGAAAUCCCCUGAGCAAGGCACUUAACCCACAGUGGCUUUAGGAGAGCUGCCCUGAGUGUCAUAAUUGUUAUCAAAGCCCCUAGAUACAACACCGAGAGGUCAACUCGCCGCACAGUGCCUGGGAUCUCUGUGACUUAAUCUCAUAUUAAUAAGAAACGAUGACGACAUUCAAAUCUAUUUGACCCCACAUUUCCAAAGACUGUUAUGGAUGAGCUGCAGUUAGAAUGGGGUCCAAAUGAAGGCAAUGAAGGAUUCAGGAAUUAACUGUUCGACAUGGACAUAAAGUAAUGGCAGUUUGGGAGAAAAUCAAACCUGUUACCUCAUUUCAAACCAGAUUUAUUUACUUUAUUCCUCUUCCCAAAAAGAGGACACGCGGGGACCGAGUCACGGAGUCACACAAAGUUAAUUUUGAGAGUUUUUCGGGUCGGAUCAAGAGUCUUUUAUGCGUUUCUAACUCAGUAAGACCAGGUGACACAAAAUCAAAACUCGUACAAAACCGCGGACAUUUGAAGGAUUUUAUAAACUUCCUCGGGACAUAGCUUGACAGCCCCCAAAAAAGAGGACAUGUCCGGGUAAAAGAGGACGUAUGGUCCCUUAUAUUAAAGCUCCUGAGAGAAACUUUUGGCAUUCUUCGCAUAUCUUGUCUUGAUUGAUUUUUGACCAAAAACUUAAUCCUGCUGAUUUCUGACAGUCAAAUUUAUUACUUACUAUGGACAUUUAAUGAGAAAAUUGCAAAAUCCAUGAGCUGACACUUGCCUCCUCACACCGAUUUCACAAUUUAGGAUAUGAAAAUCUUUUGUUUCGUUGCCAAUCGUCAUGUUUGCUUUGGGGUACCAUGAUAGGAAUCAAUAUGAAUUUCAGUUUAUUUCAUUAACCUUAAAAAAAACUCUUCACAUGAGCUUCGAGGAUAAAAGCAACACAUUCAUUAGUAUGAGAGGGGUGGGCGAGUGAUCAAAGCUCUGUACACAGAGGCUGAAGUCCUGCUCCAACUCCACCUUUUAUUGAUUUUUUUAAGAAAACAGCUAAAUGAAAAAUCUGUGGAGUGGUUAUUUAUUUUGAAUCUGCUUUUGAGAUGAAAAGUGAUAAUUGAUAAGAAGUUACCAAGACUCUCCAAACUGUUCGUAUCCGAAUAAAAGCACUAGAGAAAUGGUUCAGUGUUAGAAUUUUGACUUGAAGCAUGAGUCUUGUACAAACGCUGCAGAUUCAAAGCUUCAGGUUCUGUUACCAUCUAUUACCUGUUGAUGAUUAGUUUCAGCCUGUGCCCCACAGAUAGGACUGUUUUCUGUAGAACCAUGGACUGCACACAGUUCUGUCUGGGACUGAAACCAUAACCAGCUUUAGUUUUUAAAAAAUACUGUUUGUCUGCAUUUAAUCCCUCCAUCCAUUCAUCCUGUUUCCAAUGUCCUCGGUUUUAUUUUGUGUCAGUUAGAUGAUUUGGGAGCCCCUGUUGCCUGACGGCUGUUUCCAUGGUGACCAGGUCUCUGAAAUAUAUUUGUGCAGUUUCUUCCCUGCCUUCACUGCACUAUAUCUCUGUUCUUAUCUUUGACCUGAAAGCACAAUCUUUCCCGUGAUUCAGCUUUGUUCCUCUUUCAACAGCUCCCUGCUGCUCACACACACCGGGAUCCGGUCCAGGACCAUCGAUCCAGAGGAGGAAGGAGGAAGAGGCGGGGAGGAGGAAAGGUUGGACUGAUGUUCAAGAGCACAAUUCAGGAUGCUUUGAAAUGGAAAUGCAUCAUAGGACACUUUUUACUUCUCAGCUCAGGGGCACGAAUGUUAAAGCUGCCUUGAGUGAGGAAGGGCCUGACUUUUGUGGUUUUCUAUCUUGAACACACAAGCUAUAUGAGGUUUGAUCCUGAGGGACAGAGCCUGUGGUUUGACAAACUUAAAGGAAUAUUCCAGCAUAAAAUUAAUUUAGGGUCAAACACAUUGUAACACUCCUCGAGAGAUGAAUGUUACCGACCGCCUGCUUCUCUAGUUAUAUCAACUUUAGUAACGACCGCAGGAUAGCAAUACAGAGAGGUCUGAGGAGCCAUAAACAAACCUCAACCAAAACGCCACUCUAUAGCCACAAAUAAUGCUCAGAACAGCACCUAACUUCAUCAACAGGACAUAUAGGGUCACAGCCAUAGUACUAGCCACCACACAUCUUUUUAACUUUGACUAAUUUCUUUAGCAAAGAGACUAAACACAACUCACCUACUCUCUCCCAGCAGUCGCUUGUUUGUAGCGAGACCUCGGGCCUGUCCAUUACAGACUACAGCGGGGUGACGCAGCUCAAGGAAGAACAUUUAUGAUCAUUAAAUUAACUUUACGCCGGAAUAUCCCUUUAAGUCUAAUCAUUUACCAAAAUAUAAAAAUAAAAAUUAAUGCAAGAAUGAAACAAAAAUGGGUUGACAUAAAAUUUAAUUCAUGACUUGAAGUAGCAUCGUCUUGCUCUAAGAGUUAUUUUGAAUUUCAAAGUGACUUCCUCUCAGAAGGAGCUAAUAAACUUAAUAUUCCUACUCUCCAACCAUUCUGUCAGUCCCUCAAUCUAUGCAUAUACAUCAUUUCAAAAUAAAAGCAUGCUUUCACACUCUAGGACAUAAAGCAACUCAAACACAAGACAGUAAAAGUGUCAAAAUAAAAGCAUUACAAACCGUCGUUUUCAAAGGCAGUCUCUUCCCCAAAGGUCAACACAAACUGGGUCACUUACAUUAACCUUUACCACAGUGUGUGUCGACUACUGCAGCAAAGAUUACGCCGGAGAAUAUGUCAAAUUAAAGCCAUGUACCUCAAAUAUAAAACGUGCUUACGGAUAAUAUGUAACGCAGAAUAACACACAGACAAUAAUCAAAGUAAUAACAUUGUCAUUGUGAAUAUUCUUGAUUAAUUUAAAUCCAUAACAGCCCUGAACAGAAGAUACAACACACUGCAACAGCUGCUAAAUGGGAAAAACAUCAUUUUUUUAGUGUUUCUUUUUUUUUUCCAGGUCACUUUGAAAAAACAAAAACUUGAUUGAUGGCUCGAACUCGAGGGAUGACAAAGCGGUGCAGAAACCAGGCCACUCUUACAUUGUGAUGGAGGGGAGUAUUGAUCCCAUUUGGACACAGUGACUGCUUCGAAUUAGAAUCACACAGGCAUGCACUCAUACUAAGAAUCCUGCACGCAGCCUCACAGGCAAACAUUUACAUAGCAACACAAACAUGUCUGUGCAGUCACAACUAGACGACAACAUUUACACACACUAAGUGGAUCACUGUCUCAUUAGCUCCUGUGUUAUGCAAUCAAGUAUGCUUUCCUUUCCAUCACUUCUUAACUGUUCAUCAUUGUGUGCAUGCGUGUGUGUGCAUAUAUGGCAGCUGCGUAAUAUCCACGGCCUUUUGCUCCAUCUUAAGUCUCUAAAAACAGCAGUAUAAUUGUCUAAUCUCCCACAGCAGGUGGUGCAUACAGAAAUAAAACAUGUGAGGAGGCUGCAGCUUCCCUCUGACCACCUCCAACACACAUUGUUUCCAUGUGAUCCCUGUUCUCUUGUGUGCGUGGCGGUGGUUUCCAUUCCCUGGAAUAACUCAGUGUAAGCCAUCUUUAUUCCAGUGUGAUGCUGCAGAAAGAACCAGCUCAGGUCUGAUUUCAUAUCAGUUAAUUCUCUCACCCUCUAUGUCUCCUUUCCCGUCACUAUCGGCACAAAUUGAAGAUCAUCCCGUGUUUUUUAGUCUUCACUGAUGCUCACAUCUGCCAUCAAAAAUGAUGACAUGCUAAUGCAGGCUGUAUCCUGCAUUCAGAGGACGGUGUGUUUGUUCCGGUGUUUGCCCCAGAUGAUAGUGAUGAUGCAGAUGUGCAUUUUGUUUUUGUUUCACAGCAAAGAACAAGAUUCACACUGAACAGAUGCUGCCAAUUAAGCAAAAACACACAAGGGAGGUGAUUCAAUCCACCUCAUCUUUGGAAUUAUAAUAAGAAUUUUAAAAAAUACAAAGGACUGGAGAUGUUUAUAAAGUAUUUGUAGAGAACCUCACCAAUGCAUCCAUCUUUUAGUACACUUUAUGUCUCAUAUUGGUGAUAAACCAGACUGGAUUACCACCAUCCAUUGACUUUGUUGGCAGUCCAACAGCAGGUUCAGAUAGUUUGAGGGUCUAGUUUUAUUUAUUUAUUUAUUUAUUUUUUAACAAAAAACAAGAGCCCAGUUAAAAACAAGGCCUCCGAAUUGAAGGUCAAUUUCAUUUGUCAUAAGGAACCCAGACAAUACAAGAACCCUACAACAUAAAAUGUGACAGUAGUUCAAAUAAGACAUAAUUUCUUAAAACAGCAUAACAAAUAUAAGUGAUGUUGUCUUAAAUCAAGAUACCAAAACAUUCUCAUUUAAUAUAUAUUUUUAUUCCACAAGCAGGCAUGAAGAAAACAAGCAUGUUCUUUGUGGUUUUGCAGUUUUCAUCUGGUCAUUGUAUUAUGUUGUGUGUCGUACAGACUAGCCUCCUGACGUCUUUAUAUGUCAGAUAAUGUAUGAUUCAGCGGAUUCUGUCAGGUUCAGAUGACCUGCAAUAGAAAUCUUCAUUUAAAAAAAAAAUGCUUCAUGGCAUUCUUGAAUUGAAAAGUUGUACAUAUAUCUUACUCUUAAAAUGAGACGAAUAAUCUUGUUGCUCCGCCG
rnacentral:lncRNA from 1 species